CAACCAUCCAGAGCGGCUGAGAGAUCUGGCUCUACGACGCCGCAGCAACCACCCCGGGUUUUUACCGGGCAUGGUGCUCACGCCAGGAUCGAUGGAGU
rnacentral:ncRNA from 2 species